GUUGGAGGGCCCGGUUCCCCCGCCGCCUGCCGUGUAUCCAGCUCCUCCUUGCGCCUUCUCAAAAAAAAAAAAAAGCUCCUCCUUGCGCCGUCGCCAUCGCCGUCGAGGUCCUCAUACGAGGAUCAAGCGGUGCUUGAGCUCCCAUCCCGAAUCGACGCAACAGCUCCUUGUCGAGCUGCGAUCCGCAAUCGAGCGGCUCCUCUCGGAAUCGCAGUCCCCGAUCAAAGCGGCCACCCUCUUUAGUCGCAAUCCGCAAUCGAAGCACUACAAUCAGAAACAGGUCCUCUCUCGAUUUCAUUCUCCUAGUUGCCACCGGAGGCGGGGUCCAAGCCGCCGUAUAUCUGCCCGGGCGGGCACCGCGGGAAGCCACUUGUUUUUAGUGGAGAUCAGCAACUCCCGGCGGACAUUUGGCGACCCCGGCGACCAUCCGUCUCGGCCCUCGGCAAGUCCUCAUCUUCAUGGCGGAGGGCAAUGAAGAUGAUAGGCUCAGCAAGUUGCCUGAUGACCUUUUGCUCAACAUUGUCGAGCGACUUGAUAUUGCUGACGCGUCACGAACCACCAUCCUCGCCAGACGUUGGAAGGACGUCCCAGCUAGACUCUCAAAAGUCAUUAUAAGGGCGGGUUCUUUUGAGUCCAAGCAUACAAUGAGCAAGUUAACCAAAGAUGAUAUAGUUCGGUCCAACACCACCAUUCUGGAUGUAACCUGGAGCAUACUGGAAAGGAAGGCUGGAAGUCUAUACACCAUUCAGCUGUUGUGCAUGCAAUUCUACUUGGGAGAUGAGUCCAUUUUCAUUGGCCAGACUGUUGCCAACAGCAUAGCAACACAAAAGGUUGCUUCAGUUGACUUCACAAUCUUGACGAAGGUGCGUAGAAAUUGUACCAAGGAUGACCUUGUCACAAAUGGGAGGCAGUUCAUGUCAUUCUUUGAUUCAUGUCCAAACACAUUUGGUUGUCUUGCACGCCUCACUCUAGAGAAUUUGAGGUUAGGAGAAUCAGCGUUCCCCAAAAUUUUUAGUAUAUGCAAGCAACUGGAGUUCCUCUUCCUCCACAAUUGUGACAUGGGUAUUCAGUCUUUGCUGGAAGUGGAACACCCGCAACUCAGUGAACUAGUGAUUGCCAGCGGCUGCUUUAAGAGGGUUCAUCUGGGCACCAAAGCUCACAAUAGUGAAAUUUAGUAUUUUUAGAUCAAAAGAUGAUCCCUUCUGUCUUGGCUAUGUUCCACUGCUCCAGACUGUGAGCAUCAUUAAUACUGCUCUCUCUUGGCAGAAGAUGCUCAAGUUAAGUGAGUUGCUUGGUAAGACUGCCAUAAGCAACCUGCAUUUGAACUUCAGAAGCGAAAAGAUUUGGGUCAAACCGGAAGGUCGAAGGCAAUUGUUACCUGUGUUCCACAAACUUAGGAUUGUGAAUUUGCUUAACAUUCCUGAAGAAUGCGAUCUGACUUGGACAAUGUUCCUACUCGAAGGUGCACCCAACCUUAAGGAACUACGCAUCGUGGUGAACUCUUGCACCAAUUCUCUUCUUCAUUGUCUCAUUUUCGAAGUUCAAACUUUUUUUAACAGUUAGGAAUUAAUAUUUUCUUGACCUGAUUGAGUGCAAGUGCGGGAUCAUUUAUGUUUAGUGGUAACAGGGGAGCAGAGGAAGAAUGGCGCAUUUAGCGAGGAGAAGGACAAGGGACUGGAGUGGGAACCAUCUGCAUCUGAUUUCAAGCACCACAACCUUGCUGGGCUCAGUAUCUAUGGGAGGUUUCAAGCAGAAGACAAACUCGUGAGCUAUGCCAGGAGCAUCAUGCAAGCAGCAGUGAAUCUGGAGGACAUAAAGCUAUACAAGAGUCCAGUGUGUCAAAGGUGCAAGCACAUGCGCCAGGAGUGGACAUUGGAGGAGAAGUCAUCGCUUGGCUACAAAAUCAAAGAGGGGAUGCCCUCGCUCGUCCAGAUCCACUUCCCGAGUUUAGGGGAAGUCUUUUUUUAGAAGAAAUAAUACUCUUGGUCUGCAAGCUGCAGCUGACAGGAACUGUUGUAUUAUGCAUGGAUUAAUUGUCACCGUUGAACCUUUUCAAUCAGAUGGUACCGUCAAGGAGGAUAAUGUACUCUUAUCCUUAUUGUUAAGUAUAUUUUGUCCAGUGGAAAUUG
rnacentral:rRNA from 1 species